CCCGACCCAAUUUCCCCUUCUUCCUCUUCGCCAAAGAUCUCCAGCAGUAGCGCUGGACGAUCCUCACCCUCCCUCCUAUUCGCGCGUGUUUGAUCCCUUUCCCUACGUAUUUCCCUCAUUCUUUAGGCGCGUGAGCAGUCCCUCCUCAACGGCUCUUUCCCUCCUUUCAGCCUCGUACGUUUUUCCAGCUGUGGUCCUGCAAAAAUCGUCCUUGCCCGUCCUUGCUCGUUUGGAGAUGAUGACACGUCGCUCGACAAAGACGCAAGAGACGAUCCAACCCUCUACCUCUCUCUAUUCUGUUGAAAAGUUGUGAAUCGCGGGAUUGUUCGCAGUAAUUGGAUAAGAUUUGAGGGUAUGAAUUCAAACUUGGGGUUGCUAAUACGGCUUUGCCCUCGUUUUUUUUUCUUUUUCCUUCUUCGUUUCUUCUUCUGCCAACCCCCUAUAAAAAGAAUGCUCUCCCUUCAGUUGAAACAGAUAGAAAAAAGAGGAAAGAAACAGGGAAAGAAAGAAAAUGUAGAUAAAAAGGGAGUAAAGAGAAAGGUGUUACAGAGGAAUAUCGCUACAAGUUUCCAGCCAUAUCGCUAUAUAUAAGUAUUUUGAGAUAUUUUCUUGAAAGCAUAGAGAUGUUCGUCACUAUCCUAUCGCUACCUACAGGGAGUUCUAUAUCGCCUUUCGAGUUUGAGUGUUGUGGUGGAAGACCUCAGCGUUAUUUGUUGUUCCAGUUGGCUGCUCUAAAACAGUUAUGAAGCUGGAAUGGAGGUGUAUGUUUGAAGUAUAGUCUUCUCUUGUUUCGAUCAUCUCGUCUUAAGUUUAUUCAUGUUGUUCACUUCGCUCGAGCUGUUCGCUUAGGCCUGGACGAGCUUGUAGGUAGUAUAAUGUUUGUUUUGAUCUAUAGAGACUCUAGUUCCUUCAAUCAUAUUUGUUUGUGAAUGUGUAAGUUCGAACGAGUUUCUCGUAUUGUUUGUCGAAUAGCCUUUAUAUUUGCUUAAGAAUGUUAUAGUAAAGUUUAAUAGCCUUGUAUCUGUAGCCCUUCUUUGCUUGAACCUCUCCUAAUCGAGUUUUUUUUAAUUUCGAAUAUAUGUCGGUGAUCUUUCUUUAUCGUAUUCUUAGUUGUCGUUUUGGGGGUAGAAGCAUUUACAUGUUCGAGUUGUGGCUAUCUUGGAGGAGGGUUUUACUCUUUGUCCUACUGCUAAGCCUUCUCUUUAUCGUGAUUUUGGUAAUCGAUUGGUUUCCGCGUAUAAGCCCUUUAUAUGUGUUCAGUGGCUAGAACGAUGGAAAGGGAUCAAUGCCCCUCUGUGUUUGAUCUGCAGUCUAUUUGCUGCUCACUGUCACAUGGUUUUCUUUGGGUUUGAAAUGGUUUAUAUAGCCUUAAAUUAUCACUAAUAAUCUUGAUGGAUGAUGGCUUAGCUUUAUUCUUUUGAACAUUUGUUUAGUGCUCCAUAGUCCCCUGUUUUGCUUUCAUAUAGGAUAUAUAUUGAGAUUUCGUAUCCCUUUUCUAGCUCAUAUCUCUAAGUAGCUCACAUCUUCUAUUUUUGAUUUGUUCUAGUCAUUUGAUUAAGGUGCUAAUUCUCCUUUUGUUUGUUUUAUUGCAUCGGAAAUUCUCCUCGAGUCCUCAUGGACUUUAAUCCAUCUUGUUGCACUUCCUCAUUGAGACAUAAAGUCUCAAAACAUCUUCUUCAAGUCGUAGCCCCCCUCAUAAUUGGUGUACAGGUAUCAAAACCAGCAGAUGGAGUGCUGAAAAUUUUAAAUUUGCAGAUGCUGAGAAGCUGUCUACCAGCUAUAUACAAAUUUUAUACACCGAUAUACAGGUUGAAAUAGGCACAGGAGGAAAAAUUUGAAAUCUGGAUUGCUAGCAGUGAAAAUAUGCUGCUGAAAAAGGAACUUUCAACUUUCGAAAGUUGAAAAACAGGCUGAUAUAUCAUCCGUAUACACUGAUAUACGGAUACGCUAUACCAAAUAGGUGUAAAAAUGCAAAUUGCAGGUUUAACGUACAGGGACGCUGAUUUCAAGUAAAAUACAGGAAUAGUGAAUGAAUACGUGCAUAGGAUAUAGCCCGUAUACAUUGGUAUACAUCAUUUGGGCAGCGAUAUACAAAUGUUAAAACAGUAUAAAAAUUGUACAGGUACAAAUACACCGAAAUAAUAUGGAAAAUACAGGUGGAAUCGCGAGAAUUCAUAUUCAAACAAAUUACAGGGCUCAAAAGGUCAAAAAUGGAACUGGAUAUACACCGUACACAACAGUAUACAUCAUUUGUAUACCCUAGUUCUUUUUUCAAGAAAAUGGGCCAAGGCCCUUUCAGCAUUAAUUUUUUAAUAGGCCCAAAGACCAAUAUUAUUUUGCAGGUUUUAAUUUGUUAAGGGGGCCCAAGCCCAUAUUUUGAAAAUUUUUAUAAGACAGGUGGGCCAAAGCCCAAAUUUAAUGAAUUUGGGUAUUUAGCCCAAAUUCAAAUGUUCUCUU